UGUUGUUGCCAACCUUCAAGGCAACU
rnacentral:snRNA from 1 species